CCUCUGCCUCCUGCCGUGGUGUUCAGGGCUCAAGCUGCUCUUUUUGCGAGCACGAGUCAGUCAAAAUCAGGUCGACUUCCCCGUGCUGCUGCAGGAGCGAGGCCCAACGCCCGAGCUGCUCCUCGCGGCUGCAACGGGAGGUGGAGCGUGGCGAGGUCUAGAGCAACUGGCGAGCGAGCGGCAAAGGGAGACCUUACUCCUAACACACGGAGAUGACACCGCGGCCUCACUACAGCUUCCUUGAACUGUGCCCCGAUGAUGAAGGCAGCCAGAGAGAAAGCCCCGGGUACACGGCCUCCUCCGUCGCUCCCGUGCCGCUCCCUGCCAUCCCUGGUUUCCAUCCGUGCAGCGCGGGGAGAAUUCAGAUCAGAUCAUCCAUUUCAUCAGCGUCAGGAGACGGGAGUGAAAUGUGAUAAGUGUGUGCAUGGGCUGACUGAGAUGGAGAGAGGAACAGCCUCCAGUUUAACUCCCGCCCGACCUUUCCGGAGGGAGGCAGCGCGCCGAAAAAUGCCAUUCAGAGCUCUUAAAGGUUUGAUGCCCCUGAACAUCUCAGAGCUGUUUAAGGAGAGUGAUAUUCAGACUGCUCAUGUCCUGCCACAGCUUCCUUUCGCUCCCAGCCGUGGCGGCUCGCUGGGGCAGGCAGAGAGGGAUUUAGGAAAGGUCAGGAUUUGAAUGCACUGCGGUGCCACCCACGCUGAGCUCAGCCACAGGUGGGAGCCAAGAACGGGGGGGGCAGCCUGCACAAAUCCUCCGUCCUUCCCCGGACGCUGGCUUGCACUCAGCUCCAUUAACAUCCUGCUUGCUAGGGAAGCACACGCCUGGCAAAGCAGCGUCAGAAGAUGAUCCAAAGCCCAGUCCCUCCUCAUUGCUGCUGGGGUCUUUCCUCCUUUACUGCAUUUGCUCUGGGAGUGUUUGAGGCGGGUGGUGUGGCCUGCCCUGCUCACAAGUGCUGAGCAUCAGAAGCCCCUUUGACUGUCUGGGGAGAGGAGCAGAUUGGGAAGGGGAAAAAUUGAGAUCUAUCAUCUCCAGAUUCGGGCCCUGCGCUCCAGGGAAGAUGUGGACACAUUAUAAAGAGUCCAAACAUGAUUAGAGACCUGGGAAACCUGAGUAACGAGGAAAGGCUGCAAGAACUAGGGGCAUUCAGUCUGAGAAGACAAGCCCCAGGGCGGAUUUGAUAGCAGUCUUCAAAUACCUGAAGGGUGGUUAUAGCUGCAAAAUAUAGAUAGUAAUAAUAUAACAUAGAGGAUGGACUAUUCUGUGCAGCUACGAGGAGCAAUGAUCCUUGCAGCAGGGGAGAUCUGGGCUGGAGAUGAGAGCGGGGUUCAGCAUCGGACCCGGCUGCCCAGCGAGGUGGUAGACUAGAAACUGCAUCCUUGGAAGUUUUCGAGGGCAGGGCAGACAGACGCUUGUCUGGGAUGGUUUAGUGAGGGGCAAUCCUGCCUGGGGCAGAGGGCUGGACUAGACGCGCCCGUGGCCGGCUCCGCCAGGACCCUGGACUAUUGCAAAGAGACGCGGGAGAAGAGGAAGGCUGGAGCUGCUGCAGCCAUCUCCUCCCGGCCCCUCCGGCUACGCCACGCUCUGACACGGGGCAGGCAAGUUUGCAAAUGCGUCUCGGCCCCGGGAGCACAACGGUGGGAAACAGAAGGCGUAGCACGCCAGAGCCUCGCCCACAGGGGAAUACGAAACCAUGAAUUUAUGCCAGCGUUUCGUGAGUCGGAAGCUACAUGCUUAUUCUCAUCCGAAAGCUGCCAGGCAGCCCAUUAAACUUCAGUGGGACAGAGGCAGCGAGAACAGCCCCCUAUUUCCUGGCCCUAGAGCCAAGUCUCAGUGCCUCCUUCCUUGGCGUCUCGGUGCUAGCCUGGUACAGGCGGAGGCAGGCAAGCCAGGCAAAGCAGCGGGAGCCAGGACCGGGGUGAAUGCCUGAGCUGCUCCCCUCUGCCCGGGCCUUGAACCCCAGACCCUCUCCAGCAGCUGAAACGAGCGGGUCAGCGGUCGUCCGCGUCUGGUUUGCAAGGAUUGCUGAGCCUGGCGGUGAGGAAAUAGCUUCUCGCCGGUGAACCUGGUGCAGCUCCUGAAUGCCCGCCUCUGGAUUUAAAUUCCUUUCCAGAGCAGAAGUGUCAUUAAGCUCCCUGUUUUGGCACCGUUUACAAUUAGUUUACCUCAUUAAGUCUUGUGAAAAGCGGCUGCGAAGUGCCUGUUAUUCAUCACCGGUUAUUGCUCCGAAAGAGAGGGGCUCGCUGGAUACUGCGUUAACUUGGCACAAAACGUGCACCUGGGUGACGGCGGCCCGUCGUGCCCAGCACAGGUGACUCCUCCGGCCCGGCGGCUGUUGCCAGCCCGUGCGCCUGGCUGCCAGCCCACGGGCCAGACCUGCCCUGCUAUUGAACAGCCCCGUGGCCUGCAGAUCCGCACCAUCUCCUCUAUCAGCCACCGAGCCCUGCACCGCGUCCAGUUCACUCCGGUGCUGCUGGCCUUUCGACUGGGAAGAGCCCGCUGCAGCCAGGGAGCCUCUCCUUUCCCCUCACAUUGUGAAUUAAAGCGUGGCCCGUGGACGAGCACGGGUUGUCAGAUGAACCUGCACAGCUGGAGACUGCCAUGCCAAAGACAUCACUUCUUGCCAAAGUCUUUGCAGCGCUUUCUAGCUCGGCAGCUUCAUGUCGGCCUGGCGCCAGCCCCGGGUGCAACGAGCCCCGUCUUACAACUGCCGCUGGUGCGAGCAGCUCCUACUCGGUCAAGCAGCCGUGUCUCACACUCAUAUUCGGACCCUGCCGUCGGACUUGCAGUUCACGGUCGCUAGCUACAGUAACCCCAGUGCAGCGGCUCGUGCGCCUGAACGCACCUUCCAAAAUGAACAGUUAGGCCCUAAGCGUAAUUACACUGAUUGCACUCAGCUUCUGCUGAAGUGGUCAGGAGUUGACUCUUGGAAAAUCCAGGCACUUUAAUUGAGUUGUCUAAACGUGGACGGAGAUUGGAGAAGCCUCAGUCCGAGCACGCCGGCCAGCAGGGCUCGGCCGGUACCAACCGGCCUCGACAGAGACCCGCACACGACAAGCGGUCUCUGGCGCCGUGCAAACCACUGCAGCAAGCGGUGCCUCAAGCCCCGCCACGCUCCCUGGGCCACGUCCUCCCUUCAUCGCGGCGCAGUGCUGUGCUCGGCGCGAGCAGUUUCUCUGCGGUUUGGGGCCGACCUUCACGCAGCUUGCAGAGGGAGGCAGCGAGGAAGAGCUGUCGGGGCGGGGAGGGGACUGCUUCCUCCCCAGAUCCCGCUAAUAAAAAGCCGAGCAAGUGGAGGGUGUUUUCAUUUUUAAUUGCUGUGAUAAGCUCAGGGCACGCUGCCAAAGAGCCAAUUGAACCAAACUGCGGCAAUUAGCUAAGGAGAUUUCUCUGCAGAAUUGUGCUCCUUCAGCUCCAUUCAGAUUUACAAAUGAGAUUGUUUAAGUCAUGAUGUACGUGCUAAUCCCUGCGCGCAUUCCUGUACACACGGCGCUCCCGCCCUCACCUCCGCGUUGCCAUAUGUGAACGCGCUGCCCGGUGCGAAAUACUCAGCUCUAGCAGCUUUUCUUAUUCUUCGACCAGAGCAGCUUCGUAACAGCGGCCUCCAAGGGCAUCGCCGGGGCGGCGCUGGGUGGGCCAGGCCUGAGCGCCCAGCGAGGGCAGACAGACACCUCGCUUACCUCGCUUACCCGCUGGGUUUAGCUUUCAACUGUCAAAAAUAGGAGGUUUGGACCAUUUUGAAUCCCCCCCCCCUACAUUCUUGAUUUUGGAGAGUGGCUGAAAUGAACCUUUUUACAAACGGCCGUGGCUCGGAAGAAUGGACACUUUCCAACCAAGGGAAAGGUUUCUGCUGGUUUUCCUACGCAGCUCUGCAGCCCCUGAUGCGAGAACCGGCUGGAAAGUCAAAUGCCAGCGUGCACGGGAAAUGCCCAUGUCCGUUAUGUCUUGCUUGUAUUUCUAAAGCUAAGUCUGUUUAGAUGCAUUUGCAGCUUUAGGUGGAGCUGCGUGAUGGAGACCGUUGCUGUAAAUCUGCCGGGGAACAGCAUUGGGAAGGUUUGCCUGCGCCUGCAAUAAAAAAGCAGCAAAACCAAGCCAAGCAGCAGCUGUAAGAAAGAAAAGCGGGGAAAAAGCAAGAAAGAGCAGAAAGGGGCCGAACCCGACCCUGCGGCGCGGACUCUGCUGCCAGGACGCAGCUCCGGCAGCGGCAGCAUCUGGAGCCAGAAGAGCGUUGCCCCACGCCCCGGGCUACGGCAGCAGCGUCCAGCACGCCGGGGACGGUGCCCGCGGCUGGAGCCCUGGCUGGCCCCGUGCCUCGUGCAGCAGCCCACGGCCUGGCAAAGCCGGCGCCAAGGCUCUUUCCAUGCAGGCGCUCGUGGGUGUGUCAAUGGCCCGGGGACCUGCUAUCGCCUCUGCUUGGAAGCUGGAUCUGUAGGGCAGCAAAGCACCUCCUGCCCUCUCACUCCAUGGUACGUGCCCCAUGGUCCGGCGGGGGUUGGCUUUGGACACUUCUGCCCCCUUCCCAGCCCUGCACCUUGCUUGCCUCUUGCUGCCCUCCUGCUGCCCUCACUCCUCUUUGUGCCCAUCACGGACCUCCCAAAGGAUGGACAGGGUGGGAAAGAGUGACAUGGGAGCAUCCCCUUGGCACGCAAUCUGCCGUCCCCGAGCUCCGGUCCUCUCUCUCGGGCAGGUCUUUGCAGGCUGCUGCGCCUGUCACUCGCGUACGGGAGGCCAGCGGAAGUUGCAAUGGCCGUGCAGGCCUGAUGCAAAGCCCGGAGGUGUCCUUGUACUGAGUCCAGCCGGCUCAGGCUCGGGCCUGGCAUCGCUCACUUUAGGCCAUUAGUACAAAAGGGACAGCGUUUUGCAAGGCUGGUGCAGGCACCAUCGUGGUCGCUGGAAAGCCUUGCAGCUAACGAAGCACAGUGGAGUGCAGAGGCAGAGCGAGGCCCUCGAGGUCGAUCCAGGAGCUCUAAAAGGGAUGGAAAAAAUCCCAAGUCCUUUUCCCCAUAAAACUUUAAGCACCUCCUUAUGUCUGCAUCCCAGCCAGGCGGAGGGCUGCAGAUGGGCCUGCCCGGGGACUGGAAAGCUGUGCAGGAACCGCGCUGCACCACCGUCUCUGGUUACUAUUGGCAACGGCCGGCUGUGGUCCGAGACAUCAUAAACACUUUUACAGAGAUUGCUGUGUAGUGCCAGUGAAUCAAUCACAGAGGAAGUGAUAGUGGAGUUUCAUGUGACACCAGCUGAGACAUUAAGGAUGGAGAGAUAAGGUGGGAGACGCCACUCCGGCCCCCGGGCACCUUGUCUUCCUCCAGCAUUUCUGCUGCUGGCUCCCAGAGCCCACGGGGUUAGCAAAGCCGGUCCUCAGCGCCCCUGGAAAGGAGCAGAGCCUGGCAUGUACCCCUUUCCUUCAUCAACUUGGUCUUAAGAGACUUAGAGCAUGCAGUUACCCAAGGCAGGGGCACGUGGCGGUUUACGCCCUUCUCAGAAGAUCAGCCUGAGCCCAUCCCAACGGGCCGCCGUGCUGCCUGCUCCAGCUGGUAGCCAGUACGCCGCGCUCCGGCCAGGGUUCAGGCUGUGACGUGAAAGGCAAUUGCUCCCCUCACCUGGCCUGGCUUGCAAUUCAGAGCCAGGCUGGGGGCUCCUCCUUGACCUCAUGCCAGGCUGCAAUGCACUUGGGCACAUCCAUCUUCUUCCCUUCUCACUCGGAGGCGAGGUCCCUGCACGCUCAGCGCUUGCUGCUUUGGCCUCGCCUCCCUUCACAACAAUUUUCCCUGCAGCUGCCCCUGAUUCCAGCUGCUGAGAUGGGACAUAGGUCACAAAGGGAUUUUCUUAGUCUGAAUUAAGUGGAGCAGAAAGUGGCCCCCAUGCUUGGUCUGGACUGAGGAUGACGGGAUAGUCUAUACUUCGUUACGGUCACAUAAGGCGCAGACCUGCCAUUGCCCUCUUGUACGUACAGAGCUGCAGCUCUGCGCUGGAGCGUUUCAUGCACUCUCCUCGGGUUUGAGAAGACGAGCUCUUCCUGGCCAUUACAGGUUUUGACUUUGAUGUCAAUAAACCUCGAACGAACGGCACAUCUCCGAAGAUGAACUGUGAUCCGCACAGCGCGGGAAGUGUGUUUAUACCUAAUGCAAGGGGACGGUUAGUCAAUGCGUGGCAAGCCGGAGUAACAUGGAAGGAAGCUGUCAUCCAGGACAGAGAACAAACCCGUUUCAUUUUCCUAAACCAGGUUUCUUGCCGUAGGGACGUGCUCCUGCACGGGGCAGGGUGGGAAGCCUCCCGCGCUGCGCUGCUGCGGCCGGGGAGGAGAAGUGGCCGUGCUGAAAAGUGAAGCAAUGUGGCCGGGUGCUCCCAGCCGGCGUGAGCUGACGCAGUUCUCCUGGAUCCCAGCUGGGAACUGGCCUGUCGUGUUUUCCCAUCAGGUCGCUUCUGUGGUGUGACAUUCCCGCCCGCAAAAGCAAGAACUUAGCUGAGGUUUCUGGAGACGCGAUAAAGCAUUUUGUUUGGAGAAGAGGUGGUGAAUAUUCAUGGGGCUGGACUAUUUCAGACUUGCCCCACCUGUGAAAUUUCUCUGUCCUAUUUUUGCUGCUAGAAACCGGCGCUGGUGAGAACAGGGGAUUUUGCCCCCAGCAGAAUUUGCAAAAACAACAGGCGCCGCAGCCCCGGUCCAGUAUUGCUGGGCAGCAGGUUUCCGCGGCGCUGCGUGUGCUACCGAUGGUGCCACCCUGUACGCGUGGGCAGCGCCACACCUCGGGCCUCCCCCUGGCCGUCUGCAUCAGACUCAGAAGCUGUCAGUGGACGAGGGCAGCAGAAGCCAGCUGCCCCAUGACCCUGCCCGGGAACGCUGCUCCCAGGCACGGCAAACCCUCCACCCAAACCAGCCUCCAACCCUCCCAAUCCAGUGGUUUUCAACCCGUGGUCCAGGGACCCCGGGAGCUCGCCGACUACGCCUAUGGGGUCUGCAAAAGAUCACAGUGAUCAAUGAACAACAUGCUCUGUGGUGUGACCGGACUAACGAUGAGCCGACGGAUGGCAGAUCGAUGGAGGCUGCGGUGUCGGGGAGCUGAGAUUAAUGAAAGGAAAUCGCAGGGAGCGCCCUCCUGCUCCCGCUCCCCUCCCCGGGCGCCACUUCUCUCCUCCGAGCACGCCAAGAACGUGCGGCUUCGGCCUGCGCAGGAAUGAAUACAGUUCUCACAGCCUUUGCCGAGCGCUGGAGGUGAAUCCAGCUCUAAAGUCGGGCUUCAGACCUGCACGCAGGUGACUGAAAGCACUUCUGGAAAAGGAGGCUUUGCAGGUUACAAGCAAAAGCACAGCUGAGGUCAACAUUUAUCUUACCUGUCAUCCUUGUUUGUAACAGUAAAUCUUCUCCUGAUAAAUAACUGGAGAAAUCUCUACCACAGAGUGAAAAAUUCAUGCUCCAGUUAAACCUCAAUUAUAUUUCCAAACAAUAUUUAUCAGAUUUUCUAAUGUGUGCUUAGCGCAGUUCAAUUUCCUGCUAUCAGUCAAAAGUAGCGGAACGCGGCGAGGGGGCUGAAAGCGGCAUUUUUCACAUGUGAAAUGGGAUGUUGAAAACGGUAACAAGGUAGAGCGUCUAUCUAAAGGGCAUCGUUAGAAAUGGGCCGCUACUUGAGAGCAUCUUGAUUUUUUAUGAAAUUCCAAUCCGUUUCUAUGCACACUGUAUUGCUUUACUUUUCAAGACAAGGGGGGUUGAUAUGAGUUUAUACAAGCUGUUUUCUAGGAUGCUGAAAUUGAAAUUGUAACUUCACUUUUGUGAUUCUGGGUGACAAAAAAAUAAUAGAAAAGAACAGCUCUCUCAUGA